rnacentral:rRNA from 1 species
AUUGAACGCUGGCGGCAUGCUUUACACAUGCAAGUCGAACGGUAACAGGCCGCAAGGUGCUGACGAGUGGCGAACGGGUGAGUAAUGCAUCGGAACGUGCCCAGUCGUGGGGGAUAACUGCUCGAAAGAGCAGCUAAUACCGCAUACGAUCUAUGGAUGAAAGCGGGGGACCGUAAGGCCUCGCGCGAUUGGAGCGGCCGAUGUCAGAUUAGGUAGUUGGUGGGGUAAAGGCUCACCAAGCCAACGAUCUGUAGCUGGUCUGAGAGGACGACCAGCCACACUGGGACUGAGACACGGCCCAGACUCCUACGGGAGGCAGCAGUGGGGAAUUUUGGACAAUGGGGGCAACCCUGAUCCAGCAAUGCCGCGUGCAGGAAGAAGGCCUUCGGGUUGUAAACUGCUUUUGUACGGAACGAAACGGUCUGGGUUAAUACCCUGGGCUAAUGACGGUACUGUAAGAAUAAGCACCGGCUAACUACGUGCCAGCCGCCGCUGUAACAC